rnacentral:rRNA from 1 species
AUGGGGAUGCUCCUGGCGCGCGUCGCCGUCGCCGUGGUUGUUCUCGCGGCGGCGGCGGCCGUUGUGGCCGUCGACGGCCAGAUGUCGCCGGCGUUCUACGACGCCACGUGCCCGGCGCUGCAGUCCGUCGUGCGCCGCGGCAUGGCGCAGGCCGUGCAGAAGGAGGCGCGCAUGGGCGCGUCCAUCCUCCGCCUCUUCUUCCACGACUGCUUCGUCAAUGGGUGCGACGCCUCCGUCUUGCUGGACGACACGGCCAACUUCACGGGGGAGAAGAACGCGGGGCCCAACGCCAACUCGUUGCGCGGAUACGAGGUCAUCGAUGCCAUCAAGGCGCAGGUCGAGGCUUCCUGCAAGGCCACCGUCUCCUGCGCCGACAUCGUCGCGCUCGCCGCCCGCGACGCCGUCAGCCUGCUCGGCGGGCCGAGCUGGACGGUGCAGCUGGGCCGGCGAGACGGGCGCUCGGCGAGCCAGAACGCGGCGAACACCAACCUACCGCCGCCGGACGCGAGGCUCGCCGACCUCCUCACCAGGUUCAGCGACAAGGGCCUGGACGCGCGCGCCCUCACCGCGCUGUCCGGGGCGCACACUGUGGGCUGGGCACGCUGCACCACCUUCCGCACGCACAUCUACAACGACACCGGCAACGCGGCCGUGGACGCCGCCUUCGCCACGCAGGUACGCGCCAAGGCCUGCCCUUCCGCCGGCGGCGACGGGAACCUCACGCCGCUCGAGCUGCGCGCCCCCGCCGCAUUCGACAACGGCUACUUCCAGGACCUCGUCGCCCGCCGCGUGCUCCUGCGCUCCGACCAGGAGCUCUACGGGAGCGGCGUCGGCAACGGCAGCACCGACGCGCUCGUGCGAGCCUACGCAGCCAACGCCACGCUCUUCGCGGUAGACUUCGCCGCCGCCAUGGUGAGGAUGGGCAACCUGGCGCUCACCGGGAAGAACGGCGAGGUCCGGCUAAACUGCCGGAGAGUGAACUGA